CCUACGGGUGGCUGCAGUAGGGAAUAUUGGGCAAUGGUCGGAAGACUGACCCAGCCAUGCCGCGUGCAGGAAGACGGCCCUCUGGGUUGUAAACUGCUUUUAUCUGGGAAGAAAAAGGCCAUGCGUGGCAAAUUGCCGGUACCAGAUGAAUAAGCACCGGCUAACUCCGUGCCAGCAGCCGCGGUAAUACGGAGGGUGCAAGCGUUGUCCGGAUUUAUUGGGUUUAAAGGGUGCGUAGGCGGCUAUUUAAGUCAGCGGUGAAAGACUCCGGCUUAACCGGAGCAGUGCCAUUGAUACUGGAUAGCUUGAGUGUUGGAGGGGUACAUGGAAUUGAUGGUGUAGCGGUGAAAUGCAUAGAUACCAUCAGGAACACCGAUAGCGAAGGCAUUGUACUGGCCAACAACUGACGCUGAGGCACGAAAGUGUGGGGAUCGAACAGGAUUAGAUACCCCAGUAGUC
rnacentral:rRNA from 1 species